rnacentral:rRNA from 1 species
AUGCCUAGCCCUAACACAAAUAGUUUUAUAAACAAAACUAUUCGCCAGAGUACUACCGGCAAUAGCUUAAAACUCAAAGGACUUGGCGGUGCUUUAUACCCUUCUAGAGGAGCCUGUUCUAUAAUCGAUAAACCCCGAUAGACCUCACCAUUCCUCGCUAAUACAGUCUAUAUACCGCCAUCUUCAGCAAACCCUAAAAAGGAGCAAAAGUAAGCGCAAUCAUAGUACAUAAAAACGUUAGGUCAAGGUGUAACCUAUGGAAUGGAAAGAAAUGGGCUACAUUUUCUAAUCCAAGAACAACUCAAUACGAAAAUUAUUAUGAAAUUAAUAAUUAAAGGAGGAUUUAGCAGUAAACUAAGAAUAGAGUGCUUAGUUGAAUUAGGCCAUGAAGCACGCACACACCGCCCGUCACCCUCAUGG